UGGCCGAUGCAUUAAAAUUUAUCAGAUUGGAAAAUCGUAGCAAUAGGUUUUUCAAUCUUUUUUCUAGUUCAAUCAGAGACAUUACUGUAUAUUUUUUUCUUAACCAUUAUUUUUUUUUCUGAACCAUAGCUCUUCUUCUCCAUUCAACUAUUUCGGUUUUCAUGACUUUUCCAUUAAAACCCAUCAAUGUAACUCCUAUGUAAUUUCUACGUUUUGGAACCUUAAGGGACUGAGUAUACCAUUCAUAUAUGCAUUUGCUGCCCACAUUCCUAUAUAAAUUUGUCUAAAAUUAGCAAAAGAUAGUUUGACCUGGGAGAAUCUAUAAAUUCUUCACUCUUCACUUUCUCAGAUACUUUCCUUUUUCUUUUAUUUUCUUUAAGGUUAACUGCAUUAGUAAAAGAAGGGGAUUAGAGGAUCUUAGAUGCAUUAUAUUUACUAAAAAUGGACUGUGUGAUGAUGUAAUCAGGUAUUUUCUUGCCAUGCAGUGUUACUAUUUUAUGGAAAAUUCCAAAGCAUCUAUUCCUUGGAGGAGGAUGACAAAUUGCUCUCUGAGUCUUAGACUCGUUUCCAAAAAUGGAUUGUGUGAUGAUGUAAUCGGGUUUGUUUUAUGGUUGUUUGUAUGUUGGUAGAUCAGGUUGAAUGUUGGAAUUCAUGUUCAACCUACGAGAUCAGGUUUAAGAAUGCAUGUAUAUGCCCAAUCUGUAAAAGGGUUAGUGGAGCGUGGCACAUUUGUAGUUAAAUGAGUCAGACUAGACUUGAUGAAUUUUAACUGAGCCUGUUGGGGGAGAGAGUAAUGGAUUCUGGGUUGGGUUUUGGUGGGAAUUUUUUAACUGAGCUAUCGGCAUUUAUCUUGUGCAGAUACCUUGCACCUGAGUAUGCAAAGAAUGACAUAGUUUCUAUAAUGACAGAUGUUUAUUCAUUUGGAAUUGUUCUAUUGCAACUGAUAUCAGGAUGUAAUGUGAUCAAUGAAAAUCAAGAAGACCAAAGCCAGUCUCUACUUCAAUGGGUAUGAAAUUUGUGGAUAUCUGUUGGUCACAAACUCUUUUUAAUUAAGUUGUGAAAGAGAAAUGCCCCACACUCUUUGUCAUGGCAUAUAUCUGUAUAAUCCAUGAGAUUCAUCAGUUGGUCCACUUAUAGUUUGUCCUAUCCUAAAAAUCAGGCUAGUUGAAUCAACAAGUGGCAAAAUGUAUGUUAAAUGUAGGUUGUUGGUUCUCUCUUUUUCUAACUGCCCAUUUCAUGUACUUUUGGCCCAUCUGAUGAAUGGACCAGUUGAUUCUUGGGCUAUGGAACAUACUUUUUGGGAUCCCCUAUGAAAAAUAUGGUUCUUGCAUGUGCCAUGUCAGCACAUGUGGGGGCGUUUUUGUUGUUUGCUUCAAGAUGGGUGUCCAGAGACAGCAUUCCUCAUUCUCAAUCUCUCUUUUACUAUGGAAUGCAUUGCAGAUGUUAGUUAUAUAUGGAUGUCAGAUAUUGCUAAAUUAAUUGGUCCUUAUGAAAUUCUCUAUCCUGAUUUCGACCAAUAUAUCUACGCUUUUACUUAUAUUUUAAGCGGAAGUGCUGAUCGAAAAGCUUUCAUUACAUGAACUGAUUAAUCCUUGUAUUGGAGAAUCCUACAACACAUACGAACUGUACCAUAUGGCUAGGACAAUGUACUUAUGUGUUAGGAGAAGGCUGGAAAUGUGCCCAUCCAUGAGAGAUGUAACUGAUUGAGACUUGGUAUUUUGUUUUUUUUUUUUUUUUGUGAUUUUUAGUUGCAAAAUGUCAAAUGUUAGUUUCUUGUUUGUAAACAAUGGUUUUCAUCUAAUCUAACAGUGAGGUGUAGCAGAAUACAUUCAUGUAAAGCCUUAUUAAUCUUUUAUAUUAAGCUAUAUUGGGAAGUGAGUUAAUGAAUUCAUGAAUCCAUACAUGUAGCAACUCAUGUUCAUGAAUUGAGAGUCUGUUGAAAAUCAAAUCAAUAAUUGAGCAUCCUGUUUUGUGCUUGAAGUUUGUCUCCGUCUGUAUAUUAGCAUUAGCAACAUCACUUGUAAUUUGUAAAUGGUCAUGGAAAUCCAACAUCUGUCGAAAAAUUCCUUGACGGCUGGAUGGUAACAGUUCCAUCGGUCUACAAAAGUGACCCUAGCUAUGUCGAAAAAUUCAUUUUGUCUUUUUUUUUUUUGUAACUGACGAGUUUGAAGCUAAUUUCUAUCAUUUUGCAUAAUUACAUCAUAGCAAUUAGUUUUGCUAUUUUUUGGUCUGUGUUUCUAUUGUUAUCUCCUUCUUGACAUGCGGGAUACUGGAAAACCACUUAGAAUCUCUUGAUUUGUGUGUGUUCUUUGAGUAGGUUGUGCAAGUGCGCAUUGCUUUUCUCACACUUUUAAUGUCAAUUGCAACCUCAUCUAAUUUUCUGAGUAGAGAUUGGAAAUAGGGAGCUAAAGUGAUCAUUAAAUGCUUCACAGCACAUUUCAAUUUAGUUCUGAUUUUAUGUUAAUUUUAGAAAGUUGAGAUAUUGUUGAGUGACUACAGAUUUUAUACUUCUGAGCAAAAAAUUUCAGACUAUAGAUACUUCUAUUCUUGUUUUCUUUUUCCCUGUUUUGGUCAAGUGUUCAUUCUUUUAGAGCUCAUCUUGGAAAGAACCACUAGUUUUGAUGUUGUUUUGGUUUUGGAAUUGGGAUGUAUGGCUUUUAUAGCUUCAAAAGGUUGGGCUGAUUGGAUUUUUCUUUUCACUUUCAGAUUAAAAGAUGCUUUAGUGUUGUUAGUUACUGGUGAACAGAAAAGUCAUUGGAAGUAUUUUUACUUUAUAGUUGUGCGCCAGAGGAAGUACAGAAGGACCUCCAGCAAUCAGGGUCUCUUUAUUCGCCAAUGCUAUGUCUUUCCCUGCCUCUAUUGCAGCCACGAUAGGCUUUGAUAAAAGAAAGAGGUUAAUACUCAACCAGCUUAGUAUUAAUUUUCGUGCAUAAGAUGACUUUUCAAAUCAGGACAUAUACCAAGAUGCAUAAUCUAUGGUGCAAAAAUAAAUUGUAUUAUCUGUAAGAGAAUUUUAUUAUGAUCAAUCAAAAGGACUUCUGCUUUUACCUUCAAA